GGUGUUUGUACUAGAGGAUUUAUGCUAUCAAGUGGUUCAUAUUUUAGCCAUAUGAAUAACUUCAGUUUAGGUAAUACCAAUAUUUUGAAUCAGGGAGACUCUGUAUACCAUAUACCAUUAUUGAUGCAUCAGGAAUAAUCACACAUCCGAGUUGGAGUGCAUGCCUUACAUACUGAACCGUGUUUGCCUCCUUAAAUAAUAGUUUUUUAAACUUCUAUUGGUUCUUUCUCCAUUGUUGCAACUUAUACAUUUUCUAUAUUACCAACUUCAUUAGCAACUAUGCUCUUUUCAGGUGAGACCUUACUUUGGAUGAAGAAGGGCACUAGGAUUGAAAGCUCAAUAUAAUUCUAGGUGAGCUUAGCAUAUGUUCAUAUCUCAGUCUCAGAUUUGAAAUCAUUAUUUGGUUUGUUCACACUGCAAUGUGGAAUCAGUCUCACUAGGAAGUAGAUAUUAGUUGUCUUCUCUGAUUGCUGGCUUAGGAUUGUGAUGGCUCUUGUCCAAUUUUUAGUUUGUUGCAUAUCGACAGCCACGAGUUUGUGCAUUCCGAAUGAAAAUUAUUAUGAUGUUCAUCUUUGGAUCAGGUUGUUGAAUUCGGUUAUAACUUCAGGGAGACAAGAUCUGAGUGAGCAGGGUUCAGCAGCAAAGUGAGAAAAUGGAUGACCAGCAAAGUGAGCUAGAAGAUUUGAAGAUGAAGUUCCAGGAAUCUGAAGCAGGAGAAUCAUAGGGGACAGAUUGAAGCUAGAGGAGAGACUUUUUGGCCCUGAGGUCAUAGGGCUGUCUUGUCUGUUAUCUUUUUGAUUUUGGGCUAUUUAUAGUGACUUGACAAGUAAUGUUGGCUAUGAUAUGCAUAGGGAUCUGAUAGUUUUUGGACAAGUGGUAUCGGGUUUUAAUAAAUAUUCUGUGAAGUGGCCAGUGUUUUGAAUGAAUAUGUUGUUUUGAAUUGAUCU